GGGAGGUAGUGACAAGAAAUAACAAUACGGGGCUUAAUGUCUUGUAAUUGGAAUGAUGGGAAUUUAAACCUCUUCCAGAGUAUCAAUUGGAGGGCAAGUCUGGUGCCAGCAGCCGCGGUAAUUCCAGCUCCAAUAGCGUAUAUUAAAAUUGUUGCAGUUAAAAAGCUCGUAGUUGAAUUUCUGCUGCAUUUCAUUUCUCUUUCUGAGUUUGUUUUUGCGGCUUAUUUCGGUUUGAUUUUUUCUUUCCGGAUGAUUACUUUGAGAAAAUUAGAGUGCUCAAAGCAGGCUUUUGCCUUGAAUAGUUUAGCAUGGAAUAAUAAAGUAGGACUUUGGUUCUAUUUUGUUGGUUUUAGGUACCCAAAAGUAAUGGUUAAUAGGAACAGUUGGGGGCAUUCGUAUUUAAA
rnacentral:rRNA from 1 species